CACCAGCCCCUCGAGUGGUGGGGAUGAUUAUUUGGCCUAAAGCGUCCGUAGCCGGCCGGGUAAGUUUCCCGUUAAAUCCAAUGUCUCAAGCAUUGGACUGCGGGAAAUACUGCCUGGCUAGAGAGUGGGAGAGGUGUACGGUAUUUUGGGGGUAGGGGCGAAAUCCUUUGAUCCCCGGAGGACCACCAGUGGCGAAGGCUGUACACUAGAACACGUCUGACGGUCAGGGACGAAAGCUGGGGUAGCGAACCGGAUUAGAUACCCGGGUAGUCCCAGCUGUAAACGAUGCAUGCUAGGUGUUGGGUUGGCCACGAGCCACCCCAGUGCCGCAGGGAAGCCGUUAAGCAUGCCGCCUGGGAAGUACGAUCGCAAGAUUGAAACUUAAGGGAAUUGGCAGGGGAGCACCACCAGGCGUGAAGCCUGCGGUUU
rnacentral:rRNA from 1 species